UACAGGGGGUGCAAACGUUGCUCGGAAUCAUUGGGCGUAAAGCGCACGUAGGCGGCUCGUUAUGUCGGAUGUGAAAGCCCUUGGCUUAACCGAGGAAGUGCAUCCGAAACUGGCGAGCUAGAGUACUAAAGAGGAUCGCGGAAUUCCCGGUGUAGAGGUGAAAUUCGUAGAUAUCGGGAGGAACACCGGUGGCGAAGGCGGCGAUCUGGGUAGAUACUGACGCUGAGGUGCGAAAGCGUGGGGAGCGAACAGG
rnacentral:rRNA from 1 species